rnacentral:lncRNA from 1 species
AAUGUCAGCUAACUUUAUUUUCAUGAUGACGGCGCGUGACCUCAUGACACAUUCUCAUUAACAUGGCGCGGGCAUCAGUUAAAAGCUUAAUAAACGUAACUAGAGGUGGCAGACAAGUAGUUAAAAAUUAUAUUUAUCAAUUCUCAAUGUCGGCAUCCGCCAUUUUUAAAGAGAUCAGUAGCCGAUUGACUAUCGCUCCGCGUACAUCUACUGUUUAAAACAAAAUUUUAAAUUAAUUAAAUGCCAGUGAAUAACUAACACACAGACGGAAAAACCCGCUUGUGUUUGUGAAUAAAAACCACCUAAAUUUGGAACCGGACAGUUGCUAAAUUAUCCAGUAUAAAUAUCGACUAAGUAAUAAUAAUAAAUAGAAUAAUUUUAAUGUCAAUAUAUAAAUUGUCGGAUUAUACACACACAUACCGGAAGAUUUAAGUGAUCGUGUGAGCUCACAAGUCGAUGGCGUAAUCGGCUUGCUACGACUGUUUAUCUAUUGCGUUCUACCUUUGAUAAGUCACCAAAAUUAUAAAAAUUAUUCACACUCAAUAAAUUAGUCACACUGACACCUUGACAGUAACCAUCUCCGUCUCAGUUAAAAUGUCGACACCGUACUCAUCUGGCGGGCUCUCAAAGCUCAAGAAAAAACACUUUCGUGUUAAGCAUCAAAAGGUCAAGCUUUUUCGUGCCAACGAGCCACUCCUAAGUGUUUUUAUGUGGGGUGUCAAUCAUACUAUAAAUGAGCUAAGUCACGUAAACAUACCUGUCAUGCUACUACCAGAUGAUUUUAGGGCUUACAGCAAAUUAAAAGUCGAUAAUCAUUUAUUUAAUAAAGACUUCAGGAUCUUCUUCCAAAUGUGUUUUAAUCCACAUAAUAGUCUGAUGAAUUUCAUAACGAUUACCAAGAGGAUUUAAUGGUUGUCUCAAUGGAUCAACCGUACCACUAGGAUUUGUCAAUAAUGCUGGCAAUUUCAGCUGCCAAUGACAAUCCAUGUGAGUUGGUAUUUAAUUUAGCAGCAAUAAUCUCCUGAAGAUCGGGAUGAAAACCAUUGGACUGUCGUGAACUAUUUGUACUGCGUUCACGGGUUAUUGCAGAUGAAUGAUCAUCAUUAAUUAAAUUAUUUGAUGAUAAUGGGGUUGUCGAAAUUUGCGUUGGUGUUGAGUGUGUUUCUACAGGAAGUAUGCCAAGGAAUCAAGGACAAGAGGAUUCAGCCAAGGACCAGGACUCAGUAAUCCAAUCAAGGACCAAAAAAUGGAUGGACCAAGGAUUAAG